CAGUCGCCGGGAAUACAGAGGGUGCGAACGUUGCUCGGAAUUACUGGGCGUAAAGCGCGUGUAGGCGGGUCGGCAAGUCAGGCGUGAAAUCCCCAGGCUCAACCUGGGAACUGCGCUUGAAACUGCCGGUCUUGAGUAUCGGAGAGGGUGGCGGAAUCCCUGGUGUAGAGGUGAAAUUCGUAGAUAUCAGGAGGAACACCGGUGGCGAAGGCGGCCACCUGGACGAUAACUGACGCUGAGACGCGAAAGCGUGGGGAGCAAACAGGAUUAGAUACCCGCGUAGUCCCUGUCUCUUAUACAC
rnacentral:rRNA from 1 species